rnacentral:rRNA from 1 species
AUUGAACGCUGGCGGAAUGCUUUACACAUGCAAGUCGAGCGGCAGCGCGGGGGCAACCCUGGCGGCGAGCGGCGAACGGGUGAGUAACAUAUCGGAACGUACCCUGUCGUGGGGGAUAACUAUCCGAAAGGAUAGCUAAUACCGCAUACGACCUGAGGGUGAAAGCGGGGGACCGCAAGGCCUCGCGCGAUAGGAGCGGCCGAUAUCGGAUUAGCUAGUUGGUGAGGUAAAGGCUCACCAAGGCGACGAUCCGUAGCGGGUCUGAGAGGACGACCCGCCACACUGGAACUGAGACACGGUCCAGACUCCUACGGGAGGCAGCAGUGGGGAAUUUUGGACAAUGGGGGCAACCCUGAUCCAGCCAUUCCGCGUGAGUGAAGAAGGCCUGCGGGUUGUAAAGCACUUUCAGUGGGGAAGAACAGGCCUGGGCUAAUACCCCAAGCGUCUGACGUUACCCACAGAAGAAGCACCGGCUAACUCCGUAGCCAGCAGCCGCGGUAAUGUGUGAC